rnacentral:rRNA from 1 species
UACGGAGGGUGCAAGCGUUAUCCGGAUUCACUGGGCUUAAAGGGUGCGUAGGCGGGCAGGUAAGUCAGUGGUGAAAUCCUAGAGCUUAACUCUAGAACUGCCAUUGAUACUAUCUGUCUUGAAUAUUGUGGAGGUAAGCGGAAUAUGUCAUGUAGCGGUGAAAUGCGUAGAUAUGACAUAGAACACCAAUGGCGAAGGCAGCUUACUAGGCAGUGAUUGACACUGAGGCACGAAAGCGUGGGGAUCAAACAGG